rnacentral:rRNA from 1 species
GACGAACGCUGGCGGCGUGCCUAAUACAUGCAAGUCGAACGCAGUGGGGACGGGUGAGUAACACGUGGGUAACCUCCCAUCAGAGGGGAUAACACUUGGAAACAGGUGCUAAACCGAUACUGAUGGAUGGACCCGCGGUGCAUUAGCUAGUUGGUGAGGUAACGGCUCACCAAGGCCACGAUGCAUAGCCGACCGGAGGGGGUGAUCGGCCAAACGGGGACUGAUGCACGGCCCAGACCCCUACGGGAGGCAGCAGUAGGGAAGCUUCGGCAAGUGACGCAAGGCUGACCCAGCCACGCCGCGUGAGUGAAGAAGGUUUUCGGAUCGUAAAACUCUGUUGUUAGAGAAGCGGUAUCUAACCAGAAAGCAACGGCUAACUACGUGCCAGCCGCCGCGGUAAUAC